rnacentral:rRNA from 1 species
UACGAAGGGACCUAGCGUAGUUCGGAAUUACUGGGCUUAAAGAGUUCGUAGGUGGUUGAAAAAGUUGGUGGUGAAAUCCCAGAGCUUAACUCUGGAACUGCCAUCAAAACUUUUCAGCUAGAGUAUGAUAGAGGAAAGCAGAAUUUCUAGUGUAGAGGUGAAAUUCGUAGAUAUUAGAAAGAAUACCAAUUGCGAAGGCAGCUUUCUGGAUCAUUACUGACACUGAGGAACGAAAGCAUGGGUAGCGAAGAGGAUUAGAUACCCUCGUAGUCCAUGCCGUAAACGAUGUGUGUUAGACGUUGGAAAUUUAUUUUCAGUGUCGCAGCGAAAGCGAUAAACACACCGCCUGGGGAGUACGACCGCAAGGUUAAAACUCAAAUGAAUUGACGGGGACCCGCACAAGUAGUGGAGCAUGUGGUUUAAUUCGAAGAUACGCGCAGAACCUUACCAACACUUGACAUGUUCGUCGCGACUCUAAGAGAUUAGAGUUUUCGGUUUGGCCGGACGAAACACAGGUGCUGCAUGGCUGUCGUCAGCUCGUGUCGUGAGAUGUUGGGUUAAGUCCCGCAACGAGCGCAACCCUCACUUUUAGUUGCCAUCAUUAAGUUGGGCACUCUGAAAGAACUGCCAGUGAUAAGCUGGAGGAAGGUGGGGAUGACGUCAAGUCCUCAUGGCCCUUACGUGUUGGGCUACACACGUGCUACAAUGGUAUCUACAACAGGAAGCAAGACUGCGAAGUUAAGCAAAUCCCUAAAAGAUACCUCAGUUCGGAUUGCACUCUGCAACUCGAGUGCAUGAAGCUGGAAUUACUAGUAAUCGUGGAUCAGCGUGCCACGGUGAAUGCGUUCCCGGGUCA